UGAUAAGGCCUUUAAAAAAUUAAAAGAAUGUGAAGAAGUGUCUGAUUUACAAUCUACUGAAGUAGAAGAUGACGUACAAAGUAAGAAAAGAAAAGAAAACGCAAACCAAAUUUAAAAUAUAUCAAGUAGUGAAGACGAAUACGAUAAAAACUGUGAUUCUCUACAGCCACCGGCAAAACUUGAUAAACCAGUACAUUUGAAAAAUGGACCUUGGAAAACACAACGCAGGGAUUGUAUAUUACAAGAAAUACCUACUAAUUUUUCUGCAAGUUACACAAAUAACGAUGCAUCUAUAAUUGCUCCAACUAUUGAUACUAGAACAAAAGUUACUAAUUCUACGCUUAUAAAUAAAAAUGAAAACAACAGUACAAUAAACAUAACAA